CCUACGGGAGGCAGCAGUGAGGAAUAUUGGUCAAUGGACGCAAGUCUGAACCAGCCAUGCCGCGUGCAGGAUGACGGCUCUAUGAGUUGUAAACUGCUUUUGUACGAGGGUAAACCCCGAUACGUGUAUCGGGUUGAAAGUAUCGUACGAAUAAGGAUCGGCUAACUCCGUGCCAGCAGCCGCGGUAAUACGGAGGAUCCGAGCGUUAUCCGGAUUUAUUGGGUUUAAAGGGUGCGUAGGCGGACUGUUAAGUCAGCGGUAAAAGCCCGGGGCUCAACCCCGGCGAGCCGUUGAAACUGGCGGUCUUGAGAUGGCGAGAGGUAUGCGGAAUGCGCAGUGUAGCGGUGAAAUGCUUAGAUAUUGCGCAGAACUCCGAUUGCGAAGGCAGCAUACCGGCGGCGAUCUGACGCUGAGGCACGAAAGCGUGGGUAUCGAACAGGAUUAGAUACCCUGGUAGUC
rnacentral:rRNA from 1 species